GAUGAACGCUGGCGGCGUGCUUAACACAUGCAAGUCGAACGGAAAGGCCCAAGCUUGCUUGGGUACUCGAGUGGCGAACGGGUGAGUAACACGUGGGUGAUCUGCCCUGCACUUCGGGAUAAGCCUGGGAAACUGGGUCUAAUACCGGAUAGGACCACAUUUUGGAUGGUGUGGUGGAAAGUUUUUCGGUGUGGGAUGAGCUCGCGGCCUAUCAGCUUGUUGGUGGGGUAAUGGCCUACCAAGGCGUCGACGGGUAGCCGGCCUGAGAGGGUGUACGGCCACAUUGGGACUGAGAGACGGCCCAGACUCCUACGGGAGGCAGAAGUGGGGAAUAUUGCACAAUGGGCGCAAGCCUGAUGCAGCGACGCCGCGUGGGGGAUGACGGCCUUCGGGUUGUAAACUCCUUUCGCUAGGGACGAAGCGUUUUUGUGACGGUACCUGGAGAAGAAGCACCGGCUAACUACGUG
rnacentral:rRNA from 1 species